rnacentral:lncRNA from 1 species
CCGCCUUCUUUUCCCACACCACAGAGCACGGCUCCCGGAAUUCCACAGCCCAGGCUUGCAUUUUCCCAUAUUCUGGGCGCUGGUGCCCACCACGUGCACCCGGCACUGGCCAGACAGAACUACCACCCCCAGCAUGCCGCGCGCAUUUGGGCCGUACUACAAUCUGUAGGGGCAUCUGGGUCUGAAACGGGCACCAGCAACACGGGAGCAGGGACUGACGCCCCUUUAGCAAAGCAUCUGUGGUACAUCCCAGACCCGGGGCUCUCCGAGGCCCCGCGCUUCCGAGCUCGGCGCAAACUCUGGCUUCUCUUGUACGACGGAGGUGGUUUGCUCUUCCGUUGCCCCGUGGCUUCAGCUCAUCUUCGGCAGGAAGGCGAGGCUUCCGCCCGGCGCAGGUGGUAAUUGUUUGUGAGUUAUUCACGAGGGGCGGAUCAGCGUGCUGAAGGGGCGUUCUGAAGUCUGCCGCGCAAACUAGAGUUCAUUGAUAAUUCGCAAAAGUAAGUAGCGCCUUGAAUUUUCUGUGAUUUUUCUAGGGGCUCAGUGCUUAAUUCACGCGGAGCAUGGCUUUUGCAGCUUCAUCUUCAUGAUCUGUGGUUAGCCUUCCCUUACAGGUACCAGGGUUAAAACUUGGCGUCUAUCGAAGGGAUGAGGCCUCCUACGUUCGUUUCUUAUAGUCCGGUAGUCCUAGAUAAUCAACCGAGGCUCUGGAUUCAAAUCCCAUCGAUCGUUUCCAGUUGUGUGAUCUUUGGCAAAUAGUUCUGUGAGCCUGAAUAAUGGGUAUGAAGAUAAUGAUGAGAUAGCUUACACUCAUUUAGCCACUUAGCACAUUUCAUCUUCACGACAAUCCUAGGAGGUAGGUUAUUAUUACCCCACUUUAUAGAUAAGGAAACUGGGACACAGAAAGGCUAAGUAGUUUGCCUAAGAUCACACAAUUAGUGAAUGGGUGGGCCUGGAUUCAAACCGGGGUGUAGUUCCACAAUCUGUAGUUUUAACCAGAUGCCAUCAUGUCUCCCCACCCUACCCCCGCCGCCAUUUAAUAGUACUACUACUAAUAUAACAUUUAGUAUGUGCCAAGCACUGGUCUAAACCCUUUGUACAUAUUUCUUCAUUUAAAUUCCAUCAGUAGGUAAGUUGCUGUUGUUAUUCCUAUUUUAUGGAUGGGGAAACAGUGGCCCAAGUUGGGGGUUUCUCUAGUGGUUUGGUAUGCCUUCACUCACAACUAAUUUUAUAUUAAUGUAAAUAUAUAUUUACAUAUCUCAACAUAUUACCUUUAUAUUAAUAUAUAAUAUUAAAACAAUUUUAACAGUGCCUUGUGCCAGCACUGUUCUAAGGCUCAUCCCAUAAUUCAUAUUCUCUGAUUUUCUUUUUUUGAGAUGGAGUUUCACUCUUGUUGCCCAGGCUGGAGUGCAAUGGCAUCUCGUCUCACUGCAACCUCUGCCUCCUGGGUUCAAGCGAUUCUCCUGUCUCAGCCUCCGGAGUAGCUGAGAUUGUAAUCUCAGCUGUAGGUGCCCACUACCAAGCCCAGCUAAUUUUUGUAUUUUUAGUAGAGACGGGGUUUCGCCAUGUUGGCCAGGCUGGUCUCGAACUUUUGACCUCAGGUGAUCCACCUGCCUCAGCCUCCCAAAGUGCUGGGAUUACAGGCGUGAUCUGAUUUUCAUAAUAACGCAUCUUUGGGAGGUGGAUGGGCUCUAUUACUGUCCUCAUUUUACAGUUGUGGAAACUGAGGCACCUGCCAAAUACAUGUAGUGAGUUAAGGUUUGAUUGGACCAAGACAGCCCUGGUUCCUAAGGGGGAGAAUCG